GGAAGGGAAGAAAUAGGAUGUUCCUUCUUCCUCCAGAGGGCCUUCCCCUCUAGCCAAGUUUCGCUCCCUAUCACCCUAUCUCGCCAGCAGCGGCCCCUUUAAGGCCGCCUUGGAGGACCCAGAUUCACAGAGGGCAUCCUCUAGCUGCUGUCUCGAUGGUUAGUCACCACUUCCGGUAGGAAGUGCAAUUUCAGAGCUACUCCUGCCGGUAGUGGCUAGUGAAUCAGACACGUGGUUUAUCCGGAAGGAGGGGCAGCCCUCUCUCGCCUCCUGCUGGUCGCCGACCCUGGCCCGCAGGGCGACCGAGGUGGCUCUGGCGGAGGCCCUCGUCGGGCCCGGCCCUGGGACACUGAGACCCCAGGGCUCUGGCCAGAGACCGGUGGCCCCUCGGGUUCCUCCAGAAAAUGAGAACUAUCCAUUCCACGGCAAUUGGAUGAUUGAUUCCUCCUGAUGAGUUUUCCAGGUGACCCCAGUUUGAGUGACCCAGGUCAGUUUCCUGGGAGAUGGGUGCAUAUGCUGCGUGAAAAUAUGGUUUCGGUUCUGCUGGUUCUGUGUCAUUGUUUUGAUUUAGGGCCUUCCAGGUUGGUUUCUUUCCUUGAGACGGGGUCUCUCUGUGUAGUCCAGGCUCACGUCAAACUCAUCAUGUGGCCCAGGCUGGCCUCAGACCCACAGUGAUCCUCUCGUGUCAGCCUCCCAAGUGCUGAGAUGACAGUGUGCACCACCAUGCCUGGCUUGGUUUCAUUCUUCACCAUGUGCUCUGUGAGACGGAUAUAAAUAAAUGGAGUCCAAACCCAAAGAGUCGUUGUGCACUCUGUGAUUUCUAAGCCCAGUGGUUCUGUGUGUGUGUGGCCUCCACUGCUGAGAUACACACUCAGUAGCACUGUCUCCAGCUUUUUUUUU
rnacentral:lncRNA from 1 species